rnacentral:rRNA from 1 species
UACGUAGGUGGCAAGCGUUGUCCGGAUUUACUGGGCGUAAAGAGCGCGCAGGCGGUCGCUCAAGUCGCGUGUGAAAGCCCCCCGGCUCAACUGGGGAGGGUCACGCGAUACUGAUCGACUGGAAGGCAGGAGAGGGUAGUGGAAUUCCCGGUGUAGUGGUGAAAUGCGUAGAUAUCGGGAGGAACACCAGUGGCGAAGGCGACUACCUGGCCUGUUCUUGACGCUGAG